GGAGCUUCGCGAUCAGUUGGCCACACUCAUUGGAGUGAUGCGGCAACAAGCUGAUGUGGUGCAGCGGCAGCAGGAGGCUGCUAUGCGCCAAGAGGAGCGAAUGGAACGACUCCAAGAGACUGUGGACCGGCUGGUGGCAGCACCAGCUGCGGCUGGUCGAGGACAGCCGGGAGUUGCGGCGGAGCUGUUUCCGUCGGGGUCGGGCGAUCCGACUCCUGUUGGCCCAGAGGUUGCGGCGGAGAGGGAGCGAGCUUUAGCGGCCCUCAUGACUUUCAAGAAGUUUGAUCCGCCUACCUUUGAUGGUGAAGAUGCAGAUCCGUGGGUCGUUGAGAUGUGGAUCGAUUCCAUGGAAACACUCUUCGAGGAUCUGUACACGCUGGAGCGAGACAAAGUGAACCUAGCCGCGCAUUACCUGAAACAAUCGGCGAAGGUGUGGUGGAAAGGCGUCAAGCGAGAUCGACUGCCUAGUCUCCCUCCUAUGACUUGGGAAGAGUUUCGGGGAAUGUUGUUCUCUGCUUAUUUCCCCGAUAGCGAGAAGCGGAAACUUCAGGAGAGGUUUCUUAAGCUGCGGCAAGGAAGUCGCACGGUCAGGCAAUACGAGCGAGAAUUUUCCCGUAUUGUGCAUUGUGUUCCAAACGUGGUGCGGGAUGACAAGGACAAGGCCGACUGCUUUGUGCGUGGACUUCGGCCAGACCUGUACCAGACGGUGCUUGUGCUAAAGUUGCAGACUUUUGCUGAAGUCCUGGAUCGGGCCUUGUGGAUAGAACAAGGCAAUGCAUUCCUGCGGGAGAAGCGUGAGGAACACUACAAGGAAAAAGGGAAAGGACGGCCAGUGAGCGGACACGAUGGUCAAUCAAGUUGCCAACAGACCUCAGUGAGGACGCGCUCUCGAUCUAGAGCUCCGGGGACGUAUCAUAUUCGGUCCUCGGCGAGAUGUGCAAUUUGUGGAGGCCCUCAUUUUCCACAGCAAUGUGAACAGCGAGAGGGCAAGUGCUUCAAGUGUGGGCUGCCGGGCCAUGUGCGGGACGAGUGUCCACAAGGUGGUAACCGGGCCUUGACACUGGCGACGGCCCAUUCCUCCUUGGGACAGCCGGCGGGUGUGCCACCUGCGGCAUGGUCGGGGGAGCGGCCGUUGAGAGUGAUGCAACCAGAGGGUCGAGGACUAAUUGAGUUGUCCUAUUUCAGGAAACGAUGGCACCGCGUAGACGACCUUCAUCCAGAUCGGCGCAGGAGGGGACAAGUGGCGUCCUGAGCAAAUCGACGGCAGCGGAGACUCGGAGCUUCGCGAUCAGUUGGCCACACUCAUUGGAGUGAUGCGGCAACAAGCUGAUGUGGUGCAGCGGCAGUAGGAGGCUGCUAUGCGCCAAGAGGAGCGAAUGGAACGACUCCAAGAGACUGUGGACCGGCUCGUGGCAGCACCAGCUGCGGCUGGUCGAGGACAGCCGGGAGUUGCGGCGGGGCUGUUUCCGUCGGGAUCGGGCGAUCCGACUCCUGUUGGCCCAGAGGUUGCGGCGGAGAGGGAGCGAGCUUUGGCUGCCCUCAUAACUUUCAAGAAGUUUGAUCCGCCUACCUUUGAUGGUGAAGAUGCAGAUCCGUGGG
rnacentral:lncRNA from 1 species